UUAGUUAUAUAUACUGAAACGAGUUUAAUCAUAUGUGAUUCAAGCGGUUGUGGGUUAACAUGUAAUCUCCUUCCUCUAUAGUGCCUUCUUGAAGAUUUCAUUCAGCACAAAGUACGGUAGCCUGAAAAGAGAAGACCGUCUACAAAGGCAAGGGCAAUAUCGUCAAAGAAUUCACCAGGCUGAUGUCUAUGGACCUCACUUUGUUCUAUGAGCGUUUGGACAGUCACCUGCUCAGACUUCUUCAGUUGUUGAGGUCAAAGCGCUUUGAGGGGAGUAAAGAAAUGACAUCCUUACUGGAGAGCCUUGACAAGGAUGUAUCAAACCAAAAGAAGAGGGCAACAGCUUUGCAUGGUCUACCGUGGUACAUGAAGGAAAAUCCAUCUGCAUUCAUGAAGAUGUGUG